CACAGUGAGAUAGGGAGAGAGAGAGAUCAUGAGAAGAGAGAGAAGUAGAGAGAGUGAGAGAGAGAAAGAGAGAGAGAGAGAUCAGGGGAGAGAGUGGAAUCGAGAGAGAGAGAACACGAUCGAGAGAGAGGGAGAGGGUCGAUCGUGGAGACCCAGAUCGAAUUGGAAAGAGAGAACCAGGGGAGGAUCCGACGACCUGGGGCUCGACUUCCGACGAGGUAGGUACGGUCCGGCGGAGCUGGGUCGACGCCGACGACACGAUUUUCGGUGAAACCUGGAGGAAGACCCAUCGAACCCGUAACCCAGUGAGCCGUGACUCGAGUCCCGUGAAAGCCGACCCUACAGGAAUGACUUUCCGACGCGAUUUUCGGCGGGUGGGAGGCUGUUCUUCGAUGGUUUUUGUCUGUAGGGGACUGCCCAGCAACCCGUGCGACCCGUGACGUGAGACCCGUGACCCAGAUCGAAUCGAGAGAGAGACCCGGUUCUCCAUGGAGAUUUCCGGUGACUUGGAGUGCAAUUUUGGCGAGCUUCAGUAGGAUUUUCUGGCGACUCUUAAGUCCAGAAACUAUGGGUAAAAGCUCGACCUUGACGCUAAGGACAAGUUCAAAUAAUUCAGUAAGACGAAGUCAUUUCUUGCAAGGGCGUAGACCUCGCUAAAAGCAAUAGAUCGUUGUCGACCGGCCAAACCUUUAUAUUGUAUAAUUUGUAUAACACCC